rnacentral:SRP_RNA from 1 species
GCCAGAUGCAGUGGCGUGUGCCUGUAGUCCCAGCUACUCGUGAGGCUGAGGUGGGAGGAUCACUUGAGCCCAGGAGUUCUAGACUGUAGUGCACUAUGCCAGUUGGGUUUCUGCAUUAAGUUCGGCAUCAAUAUGGUGACCUCCCAGGAGCAGGGGGCCACCUGGUUGCCUAAGGAGGGGCGAACCAGCCCAGGUUGUAAACGGAGCAGGUUAAAACUCCCCUGCUGAAGAGUAGUAGGAUUGCCCCUGUGACUAGCCACUGCACUCCAGCCUGGGCAGCAUACAGAGACCCCAUCUCU